AUUGAACGCUGGCGGAAUGCUUUACACAUGCAAGUCGAACGGCAGCACGGGGCAACCUGGUGGCGAGUGGCGAACGGGUGAGUAAUACAUCGGAACGUGCCCAAUCGUGGGGGAUAACGUAGCGAAAGUUACGCUAAUACCGCAUACGAUCUACGGAUGAAAGCGGGGGAUCGCAAGACCUCGCGCGAAUGGAGCGGCCGAUGUCAGAUUAGGUAGUUGGUGGGGUAAAGGCUCACCAAGCCAACGAUCUGUAGCUGGUCUGAGAGGACGACCAGCCACACUGGAACUGAGACACGGUCCAGACUCCUACGGGAGGCAGCAGUGGGGAAUUUUGGACAAUGGGCGCAAGCCUGAUCCAGCCAUUCCGCGUGCAGGAUGAAGGCCUUCGGGUUGUAAACUGCUUUUGUACGGAACGAAACGGUCUGCCCUAAUACGGCGGGCUAAUGACGGUACCGUAAGAAUAAGCACCGGCUAACUACGUGCCAGCAGCCGCGGUAAACUCGUCUAC
rnacentral:rRNA from 1 species